UGGGGAAUAUUGGACAAUGGGCGAAAGCCUGAUCCAGCCAUGCCGCGUGUGUGAAGAAGGUCUUCGGAUUGUAAAGCACUUUAAGUUGGGAGGAAGGGCAUUAACCUAAUACGUUAGUGUUUUGACGUUACCGACAGAAUAAGCACCGGCUAACUCUGUGCCAGCAGCCGCGGUAAUACAGAGGGUGCAAGCGUUAAUCGGAAUUACUGGGCGUAAAGCGCGCGUAGGUGGUUUGUUAAGUUGGAUGUGAAAUCCCCGGGCUCAACCUGGGAACUGCAUUCAAAACUGACUGACUAGAGUAUGGUAGAGGGUGGUGGAAUUUCCUGUGUGCGGUGAAAUGCGUAGAUAUAGGAAGGAACACCAGUGGCGAAGGCGACCACCUGGACUAAUACUGACACUGAGGUGCGAAAGCGUGGGGAGCAAACA
rnacentral:rRNA from 1 species